rnacentral:tRNA from 1 species
GCAGCGGUGGUGUAAGGCGAAGCAUUGCUGCCGGAAAGAGGAUGGUGCGGGUUCAAGUCCCGCCUGGUGCA